AACCAGAGCACGUGGACAGGGGAGGAGGGAGUGGAGUGACGGGGAGGGAGGGGAGAGGGGAGGGGAGGGAAGCUGUCCAAGGGGAAAACAGGCACCUCUGCAACAACAGCACUGGACCCAAGCAGUCAGACAAGCAUACAGGCUGUAAACAAACCUAAAGUGACUGAUGAGGAAACAUUCCAAAGUAAACGCAUGUCCAUUUGGCUGAAGGAUCCCUGCUGUUGUUCUUCUAAACAACUCCACCUCCCCCCUCCCUUUUUCUAUUUCCCAUUGCAUUGUGGGAUGACAAAUAAACAAGUCUAGGCGGAGGAGGAGUCCAAUAUUCAGCCUCCACACCAGGGAUUCGUGGUGGAGUGUUUCUCAAAGCCAGCUGAAGCACCAGAGCUGAGUCACUCGGACUGUGAAUCAGCCUGCACACUCAAAAGGACUACAUGUCAUUCUGAACACAUCUGUGUGUCCAGGCAAUGUACGGUAUAAUAAAUCCAUACAGUGUAUACACUUAAAGACAAUAUGAUACUGUUAUUUCCCUGGCAUAUGAAGAAAAUACAUACAAAAGAAUAUGUUGAAUAAGAAAUAAGAUAAUAAAUAUGGACAUGUGUAUAUGUAUACUUAGUAUAAGUACAUAUAUACAAAUACCUGAA